AGGUUUUAUUUUAUCAUAGUUUUUCCUGAGAUCUUUUUUUAUUAUUAUUGUACAAUUAUAUGCUACAUGUUUAUCACUAAUGAUUUCUUUAUUACAUUGUGCAUCGCGGUUGUAGGAGAAACCAAAGGGGAUUUUUGUAGUCUUGUCAUCUUGUUGGACAGAAGGUGAUUUCAUAAAUAAAAAAAGGUUGAUGUCAAACAAACGUCUCAUGUCUGUUUCCCAUCAUUGAAGUUGAU
rnacentral:lncRNA from 1 species